UACGGAGGAUGCAAGCGUUAUCCGGAAUGAUUGGGCGUAAAGCGUCCGCAGGUGGCUGUGUAAGUCUGCUGUCAAAGAGCGAAGCUCAACUUCGUAAAGGCAGUGGAAACUACACGGCUAGAGUGCGUUCGGGGCAGAGGGAAUUCCUGGUGUAGCGGUGAAAUGCGUAGAGAUCAGGAAGAACACCGGUGGCGAAGGCGCUCUCUGGAACGGUACUGACGCUGAGACGCGAAAGCGUGGGGAGCGAACAGG
rnacentral:rRNA from 1 species